UUUUCGACUCCCUAUCAACUAGUUCUUCGUAACUAGCGUAUGCAAAAUCCAAUUCAGAUUCAUACCCGAACCUCCUAGGUUCUCUCGUUUGUCUUCUCUCUCUAUCUCUAACUAAAUUAUAGUUAGCUAAUGGAUUUUCUUCCUCAGGAUGCUCUUCUAUCACUACUUCAUUUUCCUCUUCAGGUUCUUGGACCUGAAUCUCCAUCUCACUCGAAGUACUAGGUACUGAUGUGUUAAAUUUUCCUAACUCCACCUUAAACCGAUUUCUUUCUUCACCUGAUUCAGUUUCA
rnacentral:lncRNA from 1 species